rnacentral:tRNA from 1 species
CCUGGUGCCUCAGUUGGAAGAGGGUCUGCCUGCAAUGCAGGAGACCUGGGUUUGAUCCCUGAGUCAGGA